rfam:Lactobacillus animalis strain 381-IL-28 NODE_8_length_231465_cov_20.032148, whole genome shotgun sequence.
UAAAUCGAAGAGGCGCAACUGACAUGAGUAAGGUUCUUUAGCUGCUAUAACAGUGUUUGAGUGGUCCUUGAAAGGGGAAGUUGCCGAAGUUUUAGGUGUUUAUAGACACUUAACGCUGGGUUGUGGUUUAAGAGAUCACAGACUGUCGCAAACUAAACUUUGCGGAGUGCUAUCGAUCAA